rnacentral:rRNA from 1 species
AGGGAAUCUUCCGCAAUGGACGAAAGUCUGACGGAGCAACGCCGCGUGAGUGAUGAAGGUUUUCGGAUCGUAAAGCUCUGUUGCCAGGGAAGAACGUCCGUUAGAGUAACUGCUAACGGAGUGACGGUACCUGAGAAGAGAGCCCCGGCUAACUACGUGCCAGCAGCCGCGGUAAUACGUAGGGGGCGAGCGUUGUCCGGAAUUAUUGGGCGUAAAGCGCGCGCAGGCGGCUGUUUAAGUCUGGUGUUUAAUCCUGGGGCUCAACCCUAGGUCGCACUGGAAACUGGACAGCUUGAGUGCAGAAGAGGAGAGUGGAAUUCCACGUGUAGCGGUGAAAUGCGUAGAGAUGUGGAGGAACACCAGUGGCGAAGGCGGCUCUCUGGGCUGUAACUGACGCUGAGGCGCGAAAGCGUGGGGAGCAAAC